UACGGAAGGCAGCAGUGGGGAAUAUUGCACAAUGGGCGCAAGCCUGAUGCAGCCAUGCCGCGUGUAUGAAGAAGGCCUUCGGGUUGUAAAGUACUUUCAGUCGUGAGGAAGGUGUUAAGGUUAAUAACCUUAGCAAUUGACGUUAGCGACAGAAGAAGCACCGGCUAACUCCGUGCCAGCAGCCGCGGUAAUACGGAGGGUGCGAGCGUUAAUCGGAAUUACUGGGCGUAAAGGGCACGCAGGCGGUUAAUUAAGUUGGAUGUGAAAUCCCCGGGCUUAACCUGGGAAUGGCAUUCAAGACUGGUUAGCUAGAGUCUUGUAGAGGGGGUAGAAUUCCAUGUGUAGCGGUGAAAUGCGUAGAGAUGUGGAGGAAUACCGGUGGGCGAAGGCGGCCCCCUGGGACAAAGACUGACGCUCAUGUGCGAAAGCGUGGGGAGCAACAGGGAUUAGAUACC
rnacentral:rRNA from 1 species